ensembl:lncRNA
AGGACGGAGAGGACGACCCGAGCGCGCUGCACAUCAAUAAGGUCAACUUGAGCAGGGUUCUCAAAGAAAACGAGAGGGCACGUCUGAGAGUCUGCGUGGAGAUCACGCACCCUGCUCUCAAGCUUCCUGUUUACCGGACAUGGACAGGUGAACACUUAAGCCCUCCUCCUGUUGAAGUAACCUCAGUAAGGCCAGAGAAUCACUUAUCGAGUACUUGCUGUUAUCUAUCCGUACAGGAAGAGGCUAAUUCGAUCACAUGGAGUAGGGGAGAGUUUUUCUCAUGUUUUGCUCUUUUCCUCUUCCAGAGCCCAAUGAGGAGAAUUCAUCCACUGCAUGAAAGUCCUGCAUCAGUCUAUUUCUAUUAUGAUGUAUCUAAUAUUUAUCCCCUCAGGAAAUAUGAACUAUUACUGACACAGUUUAUGAUGUGAUCAUGCAUUUAUUUAUAUUCUUAGUCUAUUCUUACUCUGACAUCCUUUUAUUUUUUUCCUUCCUGCUUAUUUUUACAAAUAUUAAUUUUUUUUUUACAAAUAAUGUUACAACAGUAAUUGAUUAGCUUUAAUCAGCGUUUUGAAAUAAAAGCUAAAUAUUCUAGUCUUUCAAGGCUCUCGUGAUAAUGAGUUAUUAGAAAAGGUUACUGCAGCAAGCCUCAUGCAAAGGAGAUAUCUGUUGUUGGUCAACCGACGUAUCGGAAAUUACUUCUCGUUUUAAAAGGCACUUCUGCUUUGACGCUGGGCUUUUCUUUUCUGUUUUUUUACUCUCCACUCUUGACCACAGCAGCACCGCCUCCGCAGUGCUGCGAGGAGGUGUUGUGCGGCUGAGCCCAAUAAAUAUAUAACUUCUUAGUUCUUUAGCUUGCAGCUUCUGCCUUUCAGUUCAUAGAGCAGCUACUUCUGCUGCAAAUAUGUUAACAGCCUCCCCGUAGAUACUGCAGCGCACCGUUUCAGUUCUUUGAUUGUAAAAAUAACGGUUAUCUUACUUCCACCUCUUCCAUGUUGUAGAAAUUGCAUAUUAUUUCCUACAUAUAAAAACAUCAACAGCUGCUUAACUACCAUUAGAAAUCGUUCUAUAUAAAAAAUAACAGAGCCCUAAAAUUUGCCCCAGAGUUACAAACCAAAUGAAAAGUGAGAAUAAUUGUGACUUUGUGAGCAUUUGAUUCGAUGGUGACAGUACGAAGGGCUAAAAACAUUUUCACUAAGAGAUAUCUGCUUAAUAAUGGAACUUAGAGGUGAGUCACGUCCAAUUGGUCAAUGACGUCACUGGAAAUAAGGUAUUUUUUAAGAAGCUAAAAUCAGAUGAAACCAAAUUUGGGACAUGCUCUUUUCUAAUGCCAAUGUGACUCAUUCGUGCUCAGUUGACCUGACUCUACAGUGUGUCAUGAGCGGGGGGAGGGGGUUGGUGGUUUGGAACAGGCCACCUUCACGCCCCCAGAUGUUUUUUUGGUUUUUUUGUUUGUUUGUUUUUUAAGACUUGCGGCGAUCAGCUGACUCAUAUCGCAUCAGCUGGAGCUAUUUCUGAGACUUUGCACAGCUCUCUAUGUACCCAUAAAAGGCAUUGUAUUAUUAUCCUUCAUAUGCAGCAGCACUCAGCAACAACUGGCUGGUGAAGUCACCCAUUUAUGAUGCACAAAAAGAAGAUUCAUAAAAUCAAGAAGCUAUCUUCAGAAAUAUUUUAUUGCUCGUGCAUAUGCCUUAUGAUUUAUUUUUGUAACUUGUGAAAAUAAUGACUCUGUCUUGGUUUAUGGGUCUCUUUGAAUGGUGUCUAAUUCAGUCAAAAAGUAUCCUCUGUGUUCCAUUUCAUUAAUGUAUUCAUGCAAACAAUAAACAUGUGCUUAUAUAUGUGGCGGUCUCAGUCAUUUAAUCAUGAAUGCGUGUUCUCAGGUGGAUCCUGGCAGCGCCGUUUCAGAGCAGCGCUUCGGUAUCUGUCACAGAGUUUUACGAACUUUUUUUUUCCUGUGGCUAUGCUCAUUAUUCACAUCCGCAAAGUCUGCAACGCGUCUUCUUAUGUUAACGUGUGAAUGUGUGUGUUAAUCUGUCUCUUCCUCAUUAUCAUACCCCGGACAUAUGUCAGUUCUAGGGGGAGGAAGUGAACGGCCACUAACAGCUGAUGUGUUUCCAUCCUGGACGCGCUUGGCUGCAACUUUCUGUUGACUUUCUGCCUGGUUGCAAAGACCGCUUAGGGGGGGGGGAAACUAAAGUGACACAGUGCUUUGGUUUGUCCAUGAUUUUUUUUUUAAUAACGAGAACGUCACGUCAGAUGGUCAGAGAGUGACCAAGGAGGAAUCGUAAGGAUGGACCCUGAAAGUCCCGUGUCCCGCAUGGAGAGAACUUUGUGGACAGUCUGGUACUACAUAACUGGAGCUGUAAACAGAUUCAUCAGGCCACAGCCCGCUGACACUGUCAACAAUGACCCAAACACAAAUCAGGAAUCUGCAGCUGAAAUCAAGCACCCUCCCUCUGACUCAACAGAGGGUGACAGUAGCAGAGAAGGUGUCGAGGAGGAGCAGCUUGUCGCAACAUCCUCUCUGCUGAGCUCGUCUCGCCCCGUUGUCAAAUGGGAACUUUGCACCACAGAAAUCGACUUAGGGGUUGAUGAAGAAAACAUGCAGUACAAAACCCAGCUGAGAAAAGUCGACGAGAGCAAAGAGGAUGGUGAGGGCAAGAGAGAGGAACAGCGUGACAAGACAGGAAAUGAUCAUUCAAAUGAUUCAAGAGCAAAAGAAGACGAACGACACACGAUGGAGAUCGAAAAAAUGCCCACUUGUGCAGGACUUGCAGGGCCUGGAAAUGAUGAACAUGAACAUGCCGCUUCUGGACCACAAAAUUUGUCCGAGGUUGCAACAUGCCAAGAAACAACUGAGGAGGAAACUGAUGCUGAGAAUGCAACAGUGAGAUUAGGGUUGCCCGGUGAUCAUCCAACAAAGGAGGAAAAAAUAAAAGAAACCCAAGUAAAAGGAGAAAAGGAUCAAACCCAUGAUAAAGAGAAGGAAGACCUUGAAGCAGAAGACACUUUGAGAAAAGAAGAAAAUGAUGAUAAACUGCGCAGUGAAGAUGAGCGAGAGUUAAAAGCAGAAAACACUGAGGUAAAAGCAUGCAUAGCUGCAGGUAUAAGUCCAGAUGAUAUGGAUCACAUGCAGAAAGGAAAGGGAGAGGUAAAGGAGCAUGAUGCAGUGUUAUUGGAUGAUCAUUCAGGAAGGGAGGAACUUGUUAAAGAAACCCGGCUGAAGGAAGAAAAUGCUAAAGCAGAUCAUGAAAAGGAAGAAGAUUCAGAAGCAGAAGCCACUGAAGUAAGAGAGGAAUAUAACAACAUGCACUGUGAUGAUGACAAUUUGGUAGCAGAAAACAACGCGUUCAAAGUAUGCAUGACAAAAAGUCCAAAAGAGGAGGAUUACGUGCACGAAGGGGAAGGAGAAGUACAAAAGAUUGAUACGGUGACACCAGAUCAUCAUCCAAGAGAGGACCAAAUUAUCAAAGACACCCAAAUAAAUGAAGAAGAUGAUACACUUCAUCAUGAAGAAGAGCGAGAUUUAGAAGCAGACCCAGAGAUAAACGUGUAUCGAAGUAUCAAAGAUAUAAGUCCAGAAGAUCAGGCUCAUACGUACGAAGGAGAGGCAGAGAUACAGAAGAAUGAUGCAGUGACACUGGAUGAUCAUCCAAAAGAGGAUAAAAUUACUGAAGAAACUCAAUUAGAAGAAGAUGAUCAAAUCCAGCAUGAAGAUGAACAAGAUUUGGAAGCAGAAGACACUGAGAUAAAAGUGUGCAUUAGCACAAGUUUAAGCCUAAAUGAUUAUGAUAAUGAUCACCUGCAGGAAAUAGAGUCUGAAGUACAGAAGAAUGAUGCAGUGACACUGGAUGAACAUCCAAGAGAGGAUGAAACCAAAGAAACCCAGUUAGAGGAAGAAGAUGAUAAACUGCAGCAUGAAGAUGAACAACAUUUGGAAGCAGAAGACACUGAAGUACCAGAAGAAGAUGAAAAAACAGACUAUGAAGAUGAACAGCAGUUAGGAGCAGAGGGCACUGAGGUCCAACUGUGCAUAACUACAGAUAUAAGUCCAGUACUGGAUGAUCACAAGCAGGAAACAGAGGCUGAGUUACAGAAAACUGAUACAGCGACACUGGAUGAACAUCCAAGAGAGGAUGAAAGCAAAGAAACUCAAUUAGAGGAAGAUCAUCCAAUAGAAGAUGAAAUGUUCAAAGAAGACAACUUAAAGGAAGAAGAUGAAAAAACAGAUCAUGCAGAUUUCGAAGCAGAAGACACUGAGAUAAAAGUGUGCAUUAGCACAAGUUUAAGUCCCGAUGAUGAUGAUAACCAUCGCCUGCAGGAAAUAGAGUCUGAAGUACAGAAGAAUGAUGCAGUGACACUGGAUGAUCAUCCAAGAGAGGAUAAAAUUACUGAAGAAACUCAAUUAGAAGAAGAAGAUGAUCAAAUCCAGCAUGAAGAUGAACAAGAUUUGGAAGCAGAAGACACUGAGAUAAAAGUGUGCAUUAGCACAAGUUUAAGCCUAAAUGAUUAUGAUAAUGAUCACCUGCAGGAAAUAGAGUCUGAAGUACAGAAGAAUGAUGCAGUGACACUGGAUGAACAUCCAAGAGAGGAUGAAAUUACUAAAGAAACCCAGUUAGAGGAAGAAGAUGAUAAAAUGCAGCAUGAAGAUGAACAAGAUUUAGAAGCAGAAGACACUGAAGCACCAGAAGAAGAUGAUAAAACAGACUAUGAAGAUGAACAGCAGUUAGGAGCAGAGGGCACUGAGGUCCAACUGUGCAAAACUACAGAUAUAAGUCCAGUACUGGAUGAUCACAAGCAGGAAACAGAGGCUGAGUUACAGAAAACUGAUACAGCGACACUGGAUGAACAUCCAAGAGAGGAUGAAAGCAAAGAAACUCAAUUAGAGGAAGAAGAUGAUAAACUGCAGCAUGAAGAUGAACAAGAUUUAGAGCCAGAAACUGUUGAGGCAGCAGACGACAAUGAUAAAACCGACACUGAGGUGAAAGUGUGCAUAGGUACAGAUGUAAGUCCAGAAGAGGAGGCAGAGGUACAGAAAAAUGAUGUAAUGACACUGGAAGAUCAUCCAAUGACAGAUAACAUUAAAGAAACUGAGUUAAAGGAAGAUGAUAAAAUGCAGCAUGAAGAUGAUCAAGGUUUAGAAUCAGAAGCCUGUGAUAUUAUGCUACAACUGGACUCUCAAAAUGUAAUCAAGUCAGAGGAGAAAACAAGUCAAGCUGAAAAUCAGCUCUCAGCUUUUGGAGACCAGCCAGAUACAUCAGUGGUUAUGCUCACUGUUAUCACAAAAUCUUAUGCAAUGACUCAUAGCAGUGAAAAUGAUGAAGGUGAGAAAGAGAAGUGGGUUGAGACAGAGCGGCCUGCCGUCAACGAGACAACAGAAGUGCCAGAUCUGGACGAGAACAUCGGAACAGAAGCAGAAGACACUGAAGGAGAAAAUCUUUUAACUCAAUAUGAUUUAUCCGGUAAAGAAGCUGCACUGAAGACUGCUUCACAGCUGCACACAGCUGGAUUCACAGAUGAAUACGAGGAGGAUAUGAGAGUCCCAGGAGUGCAGACCAAAACUAGGCAGGCCGGUGUGACAGUAACAGAUAUUUCAGAAGAGAGACUCAUUGAUCAAGACCAAGAAAAAGAGGAGAGCGUCUCCAGUGAAUCCUACACCGGAGAAUUUUACAACGAAAUUAUAGAUUCAAGCACCUCAGUUACAGUAAAGCCCAAAGGCGAAACAACGCAGGAAACAGACGAAGAAUUUAAAAACACUCUCCCGGGGAUCAGUGAAGGCCAGUGUGCCGUGCUGCAGGAACUAAAUACUCCAACAUGUGAGGAAAUUCAAGAGGGAGUUUCCAAAUAUAACAAUGAGCUUCGGAGGGCCGAUGAAAAUACAACACAAAGGUUCCUGGAAGCAGGAGAUUGUGAGGAAAUCCCGGCAACUCAAUUACCAGAAGAGGUGGAGAGCGGAGAUCAGGAGAGCCUUGAAAACAGUGACUGCAGGACUGGAGCUGACCAUUUACUGCUGAAGGAGUCCAUGGAAGACAAACAAGAAAGCAAAGAAGAGACUGAGACGAGCUUUGGUUUGUUUGUGGAGGAGCACGAAGGCACACCGGACCUUGAACUAGAGGCAGAGAGCAAGCUUGUUGAAGGAGUAAUUCAAGAAUCGGGACUUGACAAAGAAGAAGGAAAAUUACUGACAAGUUCAAUGAAGACAGAGGUGACUGGAACACAUGUUGGUUUAGUGGACGAGACUGAAAGGAGAUCAGAAGGGCUGCAUGAUGGUGGCAGAGGAUCUACAGGAGGUGAAACAAGAGAAGCGGUUGCAGCAGCAGAAGUGGUUGGAUUCGUCAUUCAGGAGUCAUUAGCAGCCAUAAAGUUGGAUCAAAGCAUCAGCAGACCGUUAAGUUUACAAGAAGACACGAGUGAAUAUGGGUUUGUGAGACCCUUAGCUGAAACUGAGCCUAUAUCCGUUGAUGAUACCUCUGUUGAAAUGCAAGAUAAAGCCAUUGAAAAAGAAGGAAGGGGUUGUGAAGAUGAAGAGGAGGAAGCAGAAAAUGGAAUCCAGACCUUAAAUGAAAUGGAUUUACAGAUAACUAAAGAAACUGCAGGUGAGCUAAUCACAGAAAGAGGAGACAAAGAGAUUCCUCUGAAUGCAGAAUUGGAAAUAUCUCAACACUCUGAGACUCAGGAGAUAAACAAUCAGUCGCCACACAGAGCACUUGAGAUAAGUGAGACACAAAUAAUAGUAGCUGAAACAGCUGACGAGCCCAGACCAGAGGAUUUGCCAGUGACGUCAUCAGAGGAAAAAGGCGGUUCAGUCAGUGGACAUCAAGACGUAAUUGAUGAAGAAAUCCUUGACUUGUGGAUUGAGGCGGUGAUGUCAGAGGACACUGAUGAGAUUAGACAAGAAGAGCCCAAGCCAGGGCAGCUAUUGGACGCCAAAACAGACACUUUAAAUGAGGGUGAAAUAUCAACAGAGAAUGAGAAAGUGUCACUAGCAGAGGCCAUUUGUAGGGAAUCUGAGGCAGUAAGUGACACAGAAAUGUCUUCAUCAACUGUGGAGUCUGGAUUUUUGGACCAGUUUCUCAGUGAAUCGUGUAUUCUGAGUAGUGAGACUCAGCUGCUGAAAUCAACGAGCACUGACUCACUCCAGGGGAUCCAUGAGCUGGUGGCUAGCGUGUCCACAGACAUCUUUGGAGUUAUCGGACAGCCUCAAACUCAGGACUUACUGACAGAGGAAUCAGCCGAGACAGAGAAAGAAUCGGUCGCUGAUAUAGAAGCUCAAUCACAUCUGAACCAGGAAUCUCAAGAAAAAGCAGAAGAAAGAGCUGAAACAUUAGAGACUGAAAGUGGAUCACGGAAAGCGUAUGAGGAUGUUGAAGAAGCAGAUGUAACAACAAUGACAACACAGAGCUCUCCUUCGCAUGACAAGAAGGUAGAAGCUGAGGAGGAGCAUCUUGAGGUAACCGCGUCUGAUUCUUCAGAUGAACUCAAACCCGCUGAGUCUGAAGAAUCUGAAAGUGACUCACAAAGUGAACCUGAGAAGGACACACUGAAUAGACCACAGCCUGCACAUUCAUCCUUAUUUCCUGUGCUAAACGAGGCCCAGGUAGCAGAAGAGCCAACAAUUGAAUAUGAGAAUAAGGUGGAUGGCCCUGUGCUGGACUUUGCUGUGCAAAGGUCACGAAUUGCUGUUAAGAACCCUCGUGUAAGGCCACCUAAAAAUCCCCGCUCCCUGCUUCAUAUGCCCUCGGAGGAACCCACACCCACACCUACACCAUCUUCACGUUUGCCGGUCAAACUCCCUGGAGGUGUGCCUUUAGGAGGCAUAGGUAUUGGAAUAAAACUCCCUGGGCUCGGUGCUGGAUUUCCUGUUUUAAAAAAGACACAGCGGGCAGUGAGAGACGAAAAUACCCAGGAAACAGUGUCACAGGAACCUGAAACAAAGCCAGAGGAGAAGAACGACGCUCCCCCACAGGAGGAGGAGGAGGCACCGAAGAAGCCUAAAUGGAUGCCACCAAAACAUCCCGGAGGAUUUGGAAAUCCCCUGAUGGCAGAGCUAAAGACCAAACUGAAGAAAACACCAAAGGAGUGAGAAGCUCAAUGGCUGUGUGCAAAUACCUGAAUGUAAUAAACAUAUGGUUUUAAUUUUGUGUACUGAGAAAUUGUUCUUUAUGUCCCCUACUUGUUCAAUGUAAUUUGUAAAAUAAAGAUAAACUUUCUUGCAUGAAAACAGUGUUGAUACAAUUAAUCUCAAUUUAAAAAAACAAAACAAAACAAAGAAACACGAGUUCCCUUGUAUGAGCAGUCACGAAAACAUUUCUUCUCCAAACUGUUCAACUGAGUUGCCACCCUAAUAAACUCAUUUCUAACCCCUACUCUAUUUCUUUUCCUAAAUGUCUAUUCAAACAUGGUAGAACAGUUUGAAUUGACAUACCUAUCAUGCACGGUGUAGAAAACUAAAGGGGAAUCUAAAAAGAAACAGAUCAGAGAGCUGCGCACAAUGUUAUAAUGAAUACUGUUUUAAACCUCCUGGAGCAGUGGUAUCAAUCAUAAUGUCUGGUAGCCAAAAUCGCCACGACAAAGACUUCAAUGCAGCCCACUGCAUUGACAACUUUUGUACAACUUUUCCUACUGAUAAAGAGCUUCACCCGCAGUACACUAAAGUAAUCAGGUGACACAUUUAAUCGUUUAAAUGACAGGGAAGUUCCUUAUACUAUAAAAAUGUAUGUGUUUUUACAGUGUGUGCAUGGUUAAAAAGGAAUUAAAUGACAGAAGCAGUUAAAUGCUAUUAUAUAAUCAUU